CAUUUUCCCUUCUUAGAAAUUUUGGGUUCCUGGUGGCAUAAUUAAUGAUCAUAUUUUGGACUAAAUUUAGGCAUUCCGAUUUCAUCUACAGUUUCAUGUGUUUUGUGCUGUAAUUUGUUGUGUAUUCAAAGUCUGAAGUUUGGAAGGCCAAAACAUUUAUAUCAGGAAAUUUUGAGUGAAGAAAGAUUAAUUUUUAAAAAAACUUCAAAUGAGAAUUCUAGAAAUUGCAUGUCCGUAAAAAAUUCUAAGAGCUUGAGAACGUCGCAGAUUGUCAUUUAUAAUCAAUUUUCUCAUUCAAUUCUAUACUUACAUUUCGACUUUAUGAAUUUAAACUUUAAUAAUGGUAAUUUUGCACAAUUGGAAGUAAUACCCAUACAUCUAAUACAUUCAACAAAAAUAAUUGAAACAAACAUUAUUUACAUUAACAUUCAGAUGAAAUGUACGCGACUGAAAUAAUUCUCUGAUAAUAAUAGGACAAUUUGUGCCCCAGUCAGAAAUCCAAAUUAACCAAUGUGUGUUGACAUUGCAGUCGGAUUAUACAAGGUGAUACUUUUGAAGUCCCCAUAGGGUGCCCCUUGGAAAUUCCUUCCUGGCCUGUGUAUGGAGGAUGAGGAUAGCUGGGAGAUGACGCUUUCCUGCCUCGUUAUAUUUGUCUUCCUGUCCCCACACCACAGCCUCUUAGAUCGCAUCAACUUCAAUGGACGAUCAACAAUCCCAGCAUUCAUUAGUCCACACUGCCGUUAUUAUAACAUACUCCAAUGUGUAUGCCCUACAGACCUCUUAAACAGCAUAAUAGUUGAGUAUUCCAGGUCAUAGCCUAGUAGCAUGGUGGUAGACAGUCAGACUGGUACCCCUGACCCAGACUGUUGUAGUGAAGGUCACUGCCCAGAGAGAGGCUGUCGUACUGGUUCCAGUAAGGCGACUGGUCCGGAUACGUCCGUGGACCGUUGUCAUGGUAACUAUAGCUGUACACAGACUGGUACUCCGCGGUGAAGCGGUAUUUCUCUGAGCUGUAUGAUUCCUUCAUCAUGGAUGAAUUGGACCGAGUCAAAAAGGAAUAACUCAUCACCACCUGAAAUAUCAAAAGACCACUCAUAAUUCCUUUAAGGCUUUGAAUUAAAAAAAACACAAUAAAGAUUCUGUAAAUUUUGAUGCAUUUACAGUAAAUUUACAA